GACAGAGGCGGCGAGCGUUACCCGGCUUCACUGGGCGUAAAGGGUGCGUAGGCGGUCGCGCAUGUCGUCGGUGAAAUCUCCCUGCUCAACGGGGAGAGGUCCGACGAAACUGCGCGGCUGGAGGGCCGGAGAGGGAGGCGGAACUUCCAGAGUAGCGGUGAAAUGCGUAGAUACUGGAAGGUACCUCAAUAGCGAAGGCAGCCUCCUGGCCGGUUCCUGACGCUGAUGCGCGAAAGCGUGGGGAGCAAACCGG
rnacentral:rRNA from 1 species